GGUAGGAGGUGGAGUUAAAUAAUAAAUAUAGGGUAAAGGGUAAAAUAGGAUUAUAUAAUGUUAAAUAAGAGCAUAAUUGAAAAAACAAAAAUGAGCAAAUCAUGGGAUACCACCAAACCGGUGGUUAUAAAAUAAGGGUUUUCAUGGUUUCCAAACCAUGAAAUUAAACCAUACCAUACUAUUCAUUUUAAGAAACAAUCAAAACAAACAUGGUUCUCUUAGUAACCAUACCAUACUAUGCCAUGGAAAACCAUCAUCUAAACAGUACAAUUAGUUUUUGAAGGAUCAGGAGGUCUUAUGUAUAUGUUCAUACGUAGUCCUACUCUGUCUUUUAUAAACAACUUGGUACUGCAGCUAAUCAUGUUUGAUUCGUAACCGCUGAAUAAGUAAAGCCUAUGGCGUGCUGCAACUAAACCUGCUUGAUUCAUUAAGUGCUGAUAUGUAGUGUCAUCAAGAAAGCUCAUGAGUCAGUUGUGCAACUUCCUAAGCGGUUUUAGCUCCUUCUCUGGUCUUGCCGCCCUCUCUUCUUUUUCGCUGCCAUGUAAUAUAUAGCUGGUUGUUCAUCAGCUUUGAUUAGGACAUUAGUUGUCCGAGCUGGUCCCACCAUAAGAACCGACAUUGUGAAGGGUUUAACAUAAGAGGCAUCUGCUCCAAGGACUGUAAAUUUGUAGUUGGCCAUAGUGAAGAAAAGUUGCUGGCUCAUUCCAACGUUGAUAACUCGAAGAAGGUUGGAACUUAGUGAAACUCACUUGAUGGUGAUCGGAAUCUUAUCAGCGACGUUCCUUCGGACUGGCAGGAAUAACGAAGCUGUAGUGUAUGAUCGAAGGCAGUCUACAAAGAAGUCCAAUAUAGAAACUACUGCUCUGCCCUUCACUUCCAGUCAUGAAAACAGAAGAGACAAAAGGAAGGAGAUUGAUGCGCCUUUCCAUUCCCUGCCUCCUACAGUUAUGAAGGAUAAAGGGAAAGCAAUUGCUGAGCCUUUCAGUAGCUUAUCUCCUGAAACUAAGAAAGAUAAGGGGAAAGGAGUAGUUAUUUUGUCUAACCCAGUUUCAGGAAAUAAAGCUGUAGUCGACAAUCGAAGGCAGACUGCAAAGAGGUGUAAUUUAGAAGUUACUGCUCUGCCUGUCACUUCCAGUCAUGAAAAUGAAAAAGAUGAAAGGAAGGAGAAUGAUGAGCCUUUCGUUUCCCUGCCUCCUACAAUUAUGAAGGAUAAAGGGAAAGCAAUUGCUGAGCCUUUCAGUAUCUUACCUCCUGAGACUAAGAAAGAUAAGGGGAAAGGAGAAGUUAUUCUGCAUACCCCAGUUUUAGCAAACAAGAAGAAGAAAGGUUUUGAUGAGCCUUUCAUGUCUUCAUCUCCUCAGAAGGUAAAAGCUAAAGCUCAGACAAUUUCUCAUAAGCACUUAUCUUCAGAUGAAAACGCAGCUGAAGAAAAAUUUGGUGUUUUGUCUCGGAGUUGCUCAUCUUUAAAGAAAACAAGGGAGAAAGGGAUGUCAGAUGCAUCAGUUUUUAGCUGCCCCACCUUGCCAAAGAGGAGAAGAACCAAUAGGACUGAAGUCAGCGGAGCUGGUGAUAUUAAACCCUCUGGAUCACGGACGGAUCCUAUUGGAAAGCGUAAUAAGAGGAGGUGCACACAGCAGAAACUUGCCUCUGAAGCGGCCUUGCCACAAGAUUUUGUCAACUACUGGCGAGAGCAUUUUAAAGAGAUUGAUGAGUUUGAACUGCCAGAAGAGGAAGCAUCAUACAGUGAUUUGGACUAGAAAGGAGAGGAAUAGUGCUUGGCAGGAAAAGCAAAUCUAGUCUAACCAAUUGACCCUUGUGUAUAGAAAUGUCCAUAUACUUCAUAAACGAGAUGUCUAAAAAGACCUUUUCCAUGGAGCAUCACUUUCACGGCACAAACUCACUUUGGAAAAGCCAUGAAAUUGGUGCAUUUCUUGAUCAAAAUAGAUGUAGUUGAAGGAGGCGGCAUAGCUUUAUACUCUUUUUUGACAUGAGAACCGUAUCUAU